AGCUUUGUGGCUUACAUCCUUACGAUUUAUAUUGAAUCAAGAGUUUGGAGAAAGAACUCAAUGAUGUAAACAAGGAAAGCCAUCAUCUCCACUGCAGAGUUCGGGAACAAGCUGCGGAGGACCAGGAGCUCCUCAGGGAGAAUCGAGCAUUGAGGGAACAACGGGACAGAAAUGGACCCAAACGAGCUGUUGCAGCCAUCCAGGGAAAGUCCCCAGACCAUCUUUGGAGACCCCUGGAAAGUAACAUUGUUCAUCGUUGGGGUCUAUUUAUUCGUUGGCCUCUGCAUUUUUUUACCACCAACCACAACCUGGGGAGCCCUGGGGCACUGAAAUGUUGGUGGAACUAACAGGAGAAAGGAUAGAAUCCCUCAGGGCUGGAAGGAACCUUGAACAUCUUCUAGCCCAACCCCAAUGUUUUCUUGAAAAGCUCCCAUUAAGAAUAAGCUCUAUUAUCAUUGUUAAGAAAACAAUGCACCAGUCAGUUGUAUUUGAUUCUUUUCUUCUUCUUCAAUCCACAGAAAAAGGUGUCUGCAAGUGUCACCAGAGCAACAAAACGAAGAUGUGGAGGCUGAUAUCAUCACCGUGGAACGCUACAUACCGGAACCCAUCUACCCCAAUAUCACCUCAAUUGAUGAGCGAAGGAUGUCAGAUGUUCCACCUUGCACGACAAUGUGAUGGUUGGACAAAUUGUGGCCAUGGGUGAAAUUCCAUCCGUCACAUUGUUGACCAGACUGAACAUCUGACAUCGUCUUUCAUCGAUUAUGGUGAUGUUGGGAUCGAUGGAUUCAGAAAAAGGUGUCUGCAAGUGUCACCAGAGCAACAAAAUGAAGACGUGGAGGCUGAUAUCAUCACUGUGGAACCCUACAUACCGGAACCCAUCUACCCCGACAUCAUCUUAAUUGAUGAGCGAAGGAUG